rnacentral:tRNA from 1 species
CAAAAGGUGGCCGAGGUUAGGCCUUAGAUUGUAAAUCUAAACACGAGAAAUUCUCCCUUUUGA